CAUUCACACAGUCCCUCUACUAUGGGUCUAACAGGGGAGUGGACAUUCACACAGUCCCUCUACUAUGGGUCUAACAGGGGAGUGGACAUUCACACAGUCCCUCUACUAUGGGUCUAACAGGGGAGUGGACAUUCACACAGUCCCUCUACUAUGGGUCUAACAGGGGAGUGGACAUUCACACAGUCCCCUCUACUAUGGGUCUAACAGGGGAGUGGACAUUCACACAGUCCCUCUACUAUGGGUCUAACAGGGGAGUGGACAUUCACACAGUCCCUCUACUAUGGGUCUAACAGGGGAGUGGACAUUCACACAGUCCCCUCUACUAUGGGUCUAACAGGGGAGUGGACAUUCACACAGUCCCCUCUACUAUGGAGUCUAACAGGGAGUGGACAUUCACACAGUCCCCUCUACUAUGGGUCUAACAGGGGAGUGGACAUUCACACAUCCCCUCUACUAUGGGGUCUAACAGGAGAGAGGACAUUCACACAGUCCCUCUACUAUGAGUCUAACAGGGGAGUGGACAUUCACACAGUCCCCUCUAAUAUGGGUCUAACAGGGUAGAGGACAUUCACACAGUCCCUCUACUAUUGGUCUAACAGGGGAGUGGACAUUCACACAGUCCCCUCUACUAUGGGUUUAACAGGGGAGUGGACAUUCACACAGUCCCCUCUACUAUGGGUCUAACAGGAGAGUGGACAUUCACACAGUCCCCUCUACUAUGGCUCUAACAGUGUAGAGGACAUUCACACAGUCCCUCUACUAUGAGUCUAACAGGGGAGUGGACAUUCACACAGUCCCUCUACUAUGGGUCAAACAGGGGAGUGGACAUUCACACAGUCCCCUCUACUAUGGGUCUAACAGGGGAGAGGACAUUCACACAGUCCCCUCUACUAUGGAGUCAAACAGGGGAGUGGACAUUCACACAGUCCCCUCUACUAUGGGUCUAACAGGGGAGUGGACAUUCUCACAGUCCCCUCUACUAUGGAGUCAAACAGGGGAGUGGACAUUCACACAGUUCCUCUUCUAUGGAGUCAAACAGGGGAGAGGACAUUCACACAGUCCCCUCUACUAUGGAUCUAACAGGGGAGUGGACAUUCACACAGUCCCUCUACUAUGGACUCAAACAGGGGAGAGGACAUUCACACAGUCCCCUCUACUAUGGGUCUAACAGGGGAGUGGACAUUCACACAGUCCCCUCUACUAUUGGGUCUAACAGGGGAGUGGACAUUCUCACAGUCCCUCUACUAUGAGUCUAACAGGGGAGUGGACAUUCUCACAGUCCCUCUACUAUGAGUCUAACAGGGGAGAGGACAUUCACACAGUCCCUCUACUAUGAGUCUAACAGGGGAGUGGACAUUCACACAGUCCCCUCUACUAUGGGUCUAACAGGGUAGUGGACAUUCACACAGUCCCCUCUACUAUGGGGUCUAACAGGGGAGAGGACAUUCACACAGUCCCUCUACUAUGGGUCUAACAGGGUAGAGGACAUUCACAAAGUCCCUCUACUAUGAGUCUAACAGGAGAGAGGACAUUCACACAGUCCCCUCUACUAUGGGUCUAACAGGGGAGUGGACAUUCACACAGUCCCCUCUACUAUGGGUCUAACAGGGGAGAGGACAUUCACACAGUCCCCUCUACUAUGGAGUCAAACAGGGGAGUGGACAUUCACACAGUCCCCUCUACUAUGGGUCUAACAGGGGAGUGGACAUUCUCACAGUCCCCUCUACUAUGGAGUCAAACAGGGGAGUGGACAUUCACACAGUUCCUCUUCUAUGGAGUCAAACAGGGGAGAGGACAUUCACACAGUCCCCUCUACUAUGGAUCUAACAGGGGAGUGGACAUUCACACAGUCCCUCUACUAUGGACUCAAACAGGGGAGAGGACAUUCACACAGUCCCCUCUACUAUGGGUCUAACAGGGGAGUGGACAUUCACACAGUCCCCUCUACUAUUGGGUCUAACAGGGGAGUGGACAUUCUCACAGUCCCUCUACUAUGAGUCUAACAGGGGAGUGGACAUUCUCACAGUCCCUCUACUAUGAGUCUAACAGGGGAGAGGACAUUCACACAGUCCCUCUACUAUGAGUCUAACAGG
rnacentral:lncRNA from 1 species